rnacentral:rRNA from 1 species
ACGCUCAGUGGAAAGGAUGUGGGAUUACACAGACAGUGAGGAUGUUGGCUUAGAAGCAGCCACCAUUUAAAAAAUGCGUAAUAGCUUACUCAUCGAGUGAUCCUGCGCCGAAAAUGAUUGGCGAUCAAGCGUUAUACCGAAGCUCUGGACUUUGCCGCAAGGCAGAGUGGUAGAAGAGCGUUGCAUGCGCGUCGAAGGGCGAUGGCGACUGACCCUGGAGCACAUGCAAGUGAGUAUGCAGACAUGAGUAACGUUAAGCCGGGUGAAAUCCCCGGCCGCCGUAAACCCGAGGUUUCCAGGGCAACGUGUUUCGUCCCUGGGUUAGCCGGGACCUAAGCCGAGGCCGAGAGGCGUAGGCGAUGGACAUCAGGUUAAUAAUCCUGAGCUCGCAACCCUUAAACUGGGGGGACGCAUGAGAAAAGAUGACUAGGUUAUUGAAUUCCGAGUUGAGUCCACGGACUCAGCGCAUCAUUGGAUCGAGUGCCAAGAAAAGCCCCAGCGUAUGCUAAGCGACCCGUACCGCAAACCGACACAGGUGGGUGGGUAGAAUAUACCAAGGCGUAAGAGUGAAACCUGGUUAAGGAACUCGGCAAAUUAGCCCCGUAACUUCGGAAGAAGGGGUGCCUGCAGCGAUGCAGGCCGCAGAGAAAUGGCCCAACCGACUGUUUAUCAAAAACACAGCACUCUGCAAAGACGCAAGUCGAAGUAUAGGGUGUGACACGUGACCAAUGCCGAAAGAUUAAGGCAAGGGGUUAGCCGCAAGGCGAAGCUCUAAACCCAAGUCCCGGUGAAUGUCGGCCGUAACUAUAACGGUCCUAAGGUAGCGAAAUUCCUUGUCGGGUAAGUUCCGACCUGCACGAAUCGUGAAACGAGUUGGGCACUGUCUCAACCAGGCGCUCAGUGAAAUUGUAGUGGCGGUGAAGAUGCCGCCUACCCGCAGAAGGACGGAAAGACCCUAUAGACCUUAACUGUAAGCUGUCAUUGUUUCUUCGGUUUUAAUGCUCAGAGUAAGUGGGAGACGCUGAAGACGCCCUUUAGGGGGCGUCCGAGUCAUCAAUGAGACACCACCCUUUGAAACUGGAGGAUCUAACCCUGAGCCGUGAAUCCGGCCAGAGGACCGUGUCAGCCGGUCAGUUUUACUGGGGCGGUAUCCUCCCAAAGAGUAACGGAGGAGCGCGAAGGUGGGCUCAGCCCGGUUGGCAACCGGGUGUCGAGUGCAUGGGCAUAAGCCCGCCUAACUGUGAGACCAACAAGUCGAGCAGAUGCGAAAGCAGGCCCAAGUGAUCCGGCGGUAGAAAGUGGAAUUGCCGUCGCUCAACGGAUAAAAGGUACCUUAGGGAUAACAGGCUGAUCACGCCCAAGAGUUCAUAUCGACGGCGUGGUUUGGCACCUCGAUGUCGGCUCGUCGCAUCCUGGGGCUGGAGAAGGUCCCAAGGGUCCGGCUGUUCGCCGGUUAAAGCGGCACGCGAGCUGGGUUCAGAACGUCGCGAGACAGUUCGGUCCUCUAUCCUCUGUGGGCGUUGGAAAAUUGAGGGGUUCAGACCUUAGUACGAGAGGACCGGGUCUGACGCACCACUGGUGCAUCGGUUGUACUGUCAAGUGCAUGGCCGAGUAGCUAAGUGCGGACGGGAUAAGCGCUGAAAGCAUCUAAGCGCCAAGCCCUUCCCAAGAUGAGUUUUCCCUACAGGUUCGUGGAAGACCACCACGUUGAUAGGUCGCAGGUGUAAGUGCAGCAAUGUAUUGAGCCGAGCGAUACUAAUUACCAAUUGACUUCAUC